GGACUAGGCCAGCAUUGGGGGAGGGGAGGGUGUAUUGCUAACGUUUGUCAAGCCUUUAGAAAGUGCUGAGUUCUGUUGUAAGCACUAAGAAUAUCUCACUUAAUCCUUAUUUCGAUCCUCAGGAUGCUGGCAGCCUCAUUCUGAAAGGAACACCGCUUUGCAGAGGAAAAGCUCUGAGAGAGAGAGAAGAAGGAAACCACUGUGAUGGAGUGGACGGAAAAGAGGGCUCCCUGUUGUUGCUGCUAGUACCUUCCACGGAUGGUGAGAAAGAACU